CCUACGGGUGGCAGCAGUGAGGAAUAUUGGUCAAUGGGCGCGAGCCUGAACCAGCCAAGUAGCGUGAAGGAUGACUGCCCUACGGGUUGUAAACUUCUUUUAUAAAGGAAUAAAGUGAGGCACGUGUGCCUUUUUGUAGGUACUUUAUGAAUAAGGAUCGGCUAACUACGGGCCAGCAGCCGCGGUAAUACGGAGGAUCCGACCGUUAUCCGGAUUUAUUGGGGUUAAAGGGAGCGUAGAGGGGUUGUUAAGGCCGUUGUGAAAGUUUGCGGCGUAACCGUAAAAUCGCAAUUGAUACUGGCAGCCUUGAGUACAGUUGAGGUAGGCGGAAUUCGUGGUGUAGCGGUGAAAUGCUUAGAUAUCACGAAGAACUCCGAUUGCGAAGGCAGCCUACUAAACUGCCACUGACAUUGAUGCUCGAAAGUGUGGGUAUCAAACAGGAUUAGAUACCCCUGUAGUC
rnacentral:rRNA from 1 species